AACGAACGCUGGCGGCAGGCCUAACACAUGCAAGUCGAGCGCCCUUUCGGGGGUGCGGCGGACGGGUGAGUAACGCGCGGGAAUAUGCCCUUCUCUACGGAAUAGCCUCGGGAAACUGAGAGUAAUAUCGUAUACGCCCUGAGGGGGCAUGAUUUAUCGGGGAAGGCUUAGCCCGCGUUGGAUUAGGUAGUUGGUGGGGUAAUCGCCUACCAAGCCGACGAUCCAUAGCUGGUUUGAGAGGAUGAUCAGCCACACUGGGACUGAGACACGGCCCAGACUCCUACGGGAGGCAGCGGUGAGGAAUCUUAGACAAUGGGGGCAACCCUGAUAUGGCCAUGCCGCGUGAGUGAUGAAUGCCUUAGGGUUGUGAAGCUCUUUCAGCUGGGAAGAUAAUGACGGUACCGGCAGAAGAAGCCCCGGCUAACUCCGUG
rnacentral:rRNA from 1 species